UGCGACCCCAGGUCAGCGGGAACACCCGCUGAUUUAAGCAUUCAUAACGGGAGAAA
rnacentral:rRNA from 1 species